AGGUGAAAAACAGAGUAACAGCGAAAUCUCAAAGCGAGCAGGGAAAAACAGGAAAUGCCUGUGCACUGUUCUCACUGCCUCUGACUAGCUCCCUCUCUCUCACUCUCUCUUUCUUUCUCUCCUCUUCUUCUCUCCCCUCCCCUCUCCUCCCUCCAGUCACACUUUUCUCCACACAUGACUCAUCGGCUGUUUCGCGCACCUAACCCCACCAUCCACAGACUCUGAACCAGGGAGGCAGUUGGAACUUCCUCUCAUUGUAAGCGUGCCUAGAAAAAUGUUUGAGCAGACACGCAAGAAUGCCAGGUUAUCACUGCGCUUCCAAAACCCGAUCCUCAGUUGUUCCAUUCAACAGUGAUGGAGGAUUUCUGGAAUGCUGUAAAUUGCCUCUAGCUCCAUCCACUUCAAAAACUAGAGCUGGACCGUAGGGAUGCUGCUGCCACUUCGGGGAGUUGGUCCGAACAGACCGGUGGUACCCAAAAGGAUGGGUCUGACACCAGGCAAACUCCGCAUCUGAUACUGGCGCAAGGUCCUCCGGGUGGGAAUGCCGCUGCCUA